UUCAUGCCCAAAACACUUCCAGACUAUGCAGUUCACUCUGAUGGUUUGUUGAUGCCUCAUCUCUGUCCGUCCCUCACAUUAAGUGAAAGUAUUACUCCUAAAUGAAAGCCACUGGCAAAUAUUUCAUUCUACUCAUGCCAGCAGGCCAGCAGUUUUGUUUUUCACUCAUUCCUUUUUUUUUUUUCAGAUUUCAUUUAUUGAUUGAUUUGAGAGAGAGAGAGAGAGAGGAGGGAGAAGGAAAAGCAGUCUCCGCACUGAUCAAGGAGCCAGACUCAAGGUUCAAGCCCACAGCCCUGAGAUCAUGACCCCAGCUGGAAUUAAGAGUCAGUCAGUCACUCAACUGACUGAGCCACGCAGGUGUCCCUCUCACUUAUUCCUUUAAUUCAAGCCUCAGACCAGCCCUCUUCUCCAGGGCUAUUAAACCUUUAUAGUUAUUUAAAGACAAAUCCUGCAGUGCUUGCUUAGAUCACCAGUCCACCUGAUAAACGUGGAAGGAAUGAAGGAUGUAACAAACACCACAGUAAUAACACCACAGUGCUGCAGCUACUGCAGCACCAACCAGUUUCCUGUGGGCUUUGAUGGGUGUCGUGCAGAUGCCCUUGAGCCUGUGCAGCACCGACCAGUUUCCUGUGGGCUUUGAUGGGUGUCGUACAGAUGCCCUUGAGAGGUAGCCCAGGACUGUCCACCUGCCACCCGAGUGCCCCAUCUGCCCAUCCCACGCCUUUCCUCUGUCACGUCAUCACUGAUGAAGUCAUCAGCGCCUCGCCCACGGGCUGCUCUGGAUCUUCCCACUUGGGCAGCAACUGCGGUGAGACACAGAAUCCCCACAUCCUUGGAGAAGAGUGUGGCACAUGCCAGGAAGCUCCCCGCAGAGCCGGGCACUCGAGGUGGAGAGGAGGCCCACACAGCGGCUCUAGUGGAAAUUCAGAACCUCCUGAGGAAAGCUUUGCAGGAGGCUAUUCGCCUGCCCCAACCCCACGGGCCUCUGGCUCGGAAGGGACUUGUGCGGCCACAUACACGCACGCAUGCACCGAAGCGCUGCAGGUGGCACUUAGGCUUUUAUUUAAAUGCGGUUUCUCUUUGAAGGAGAACAAAGUCUAUCUGAAUAAAAGUCCUAUUUUUGGAAAGGAGAAGUAA
rnacentral:lncRNA from 1 species